UACGAAGGGGGCUAGCGUUGCUCGGAAUCACUGGGCGUAAAGCGCACGUAGGCGGAUUGCUAAGUCAGGGGUGAAAUCCUGGAGCUCAACUCCAGAACUGCCUUUGAUACUGGCGACCUUGAGUCCGGGAGAGGUGAGUGGAACUGCGAGUGUAGAGGUGAAAUUCGUAGAUAUUCGCAAGAACACCAGCGGCGAAGGCGGCUCACUGGCCCGGUACUGAUGCUGAGGUGCGAAAGCGUGGGGAGCAAACAGG
rnacentral:rRNA from 1 species